CACAACAAAAGUAGCUGUGCAGCACGUUUUUUUAAUGAAGAGGAGGAUGGUUGUAGACGUUCACAUUCCUGCAAGAAGAUGUCAGACACCGAGGCUGCCAGUACCUCUGGGUCGAUAGUCCAUGUGUUGGAUGAUGCACUGCCGUUGAUCAGAACAAGUUAGUAACGAGAGAUGUCAGCGAUUCGGGCCAAUGACCAAGGGAAAGCUGGGACAAAAGAGAGGCUCACACAGUGCCAAAGGAACAAAAAGGUAUUGGUCGACAAUAGAGGUGGAUGCAGUUGAUUCCUUGAUGAAUUUUAUCCGAAUGGGAAAAACACCUGGAAAACAAGACUGUGAGAAUUGCAUUGCUGCUUCUCCCAAGCGCUAGUAAACAGGGACUGGAGAGCAGUUAAGUUCUAUGUACACAACAGAAUAGUUGCAGAUCAGAGAAAAUAAGUGUAUGAGAUGCUUCUGGCUAUCUUGGUGUACUUCUGAGGAUUUAAUGGGACUUACUUGACUUAAACUCAUCAACAGAUGACGAAUGUCCUCUAUCUCACUGUUUCGAUCGUCAAAAGGAGUGGAUCAAAACGCAGCGUGUUGAGUGCUCAUAUUU
rnacentral:lncRNA from 1 species